rnacentral:rRNA from 1 species
UACGAGGGGGGCUAGCGUUGCUCGGAAUGACUGGGCGUAAAGGGCGCGUAGGCGGCUCAUACAGUCAGAUGUGAAAUUCCUGGGCUUAACCUGGGGGCUGCAUUUGAUACGUGUGGGCUUGAGUGGGGAAGAGGGUCGUGGAAUUCCCAGUGUAGAGGUGAAAUUCGUAGAUAUUGGGAAGAACACCGGUGGCGAAGGCGGCGACCUGGUCCUUGACUGACGCUGAGGCGCGAAAGCGUGGGGAGCAAACAGG